UUCCUGGUGGUCCAGUGGUUAGGACUCGGCGCUUUCACUGCCGGGGCCCUGGGUUCAAUCCCUGGUCAGGGAA
rnacentral:tRNA from 1 species